AUACUCAGCUAGCAGAGGAGACACCAUGAUCACGCAGGUGGUUUUCCCAGGGCAAGGCUCGCCCAUUGCACUCAGGGUGUGCUGACCCUUGUGAUUUCCCCAAAUGCAGGAAAUUUGACUGAAUAAUUUGUCGUAGUAGGGGACUGCAUUCACUCUCUCCCCUG